rnacentral:rRNA from 1 species
AAGGAAUUGACGGGGGCCCGCACAAACGUUGGAGCAUGUGCUUUAAUUCGAUGAUACGCGAGGAACCUUACCAGGGUUUGACAUAUAGCGGACUGUGGCAGAGAUGUCACAUCCAUUCGGGGCCGUUAUACAGGUGCUGCAUGGCUGUCGUCAGCUCGUGCUGUGAAGUGUUGGGUUAAGUCCCGCAACGAGCGCAACCCCUGCUGUCUAAUACCAGCAUUUAGGGUGGGACCUCAGACGGUACUGCCGGUGACAAACCGGAGCAAGGUGGGCAUGACGUCAAGUCAUCAUGGCCCUUAUGUCAUGGGCAACACACGUGCUACAAUGGUCGGUACAGAGUGCGGCGAAACCGCGAGGUGGAGCAAAUCACAGANAACCGGUCUCAGUACGGAUUGGAGUCUGAACUCGACUUCAUGAAGGUGGAAUCGCUAGUAACCGCGCAUCAGCACCGCGCGCUGAAUACGUUCCCGGGCAUUGUACACACCGCCCGUCACACCACCCGAGUUGGGGUACCCGAA